ACAAGGAGUAUAGCUAGCUGGGGUUGACCCAGACCUGAUACGGCUGAGCACCCGACUCCAUUCCUCUGUGUCUUCUUGGGUUCUCCACGUUACGACUUACGGGCAAUUGAAGCUGCGGCGCCAGCAAGAAGACUCAACAACGCUGAUAGCCUCGCGGACGGGGACGGCGCCAGCAAGAAGACUCAACAAGCGCUUCGAACCCAAGCUCGCUCCGACCGCUUCGCUCGUUAAGGGAUGGUUGCAUCGCUUGGACAAGUUCAUAGUUGGGAUUUGUACUUCAAUUUGUAGACCACAAACGUACUGGACUACUGUCUAAAUAUAAUAUAGUUUUGAUAAGCACCAGUGCAUUCAUAAAAUGGGGGAUAGAAAUGUUCUGGAGCGCAUACUCUCCGGCCAUGAGAAACCGACGAAUUUGGCAUUAGCACUUCUACAGGAGAUCACGGAAAAUUUUUCGGAUGAUAGAAAAAUUGGUAAGGGUGGAUUUGCAGAGGUUUACAAGGGUGUGCUCCAAAACAAGAACAUUGCCGUGAAGAAGAUUUUUUUGAACAAACACACAAUCGAUGACAAGCUAUUUGAUAGAGAGGUUAAAAACUUGAUGAUGAUGGAGAUUAUUAGCCAUCCAAAUGUAGUCCGCUUUCUUGGCUUUUGUGCUAACAACCAUUACGAAUACGAAAUGAUAAAAGAUAAUGGAGAAUGGGUUAAGGCCCAGAUAAGGGAAAGAUUACUUUGUUUCGACUAUAUCAGCAAUGGAAGCCUUGAUAAACAUAUCACCGAUGAAUUAAGAGGGCUUGAAUGGAGUAAACGCUACGAAAUAAUCAAGGGAAUUUGUAAUGGUUUGCACCACCUGCAUGAGGAAAAAAAUAUUAUCCAUAUGGACCUAACUCCUGGCAACAUUAUGCUAGAUAAUGAAAUGGUGCCAAAGAUCACGGAUUUUGGUCUAUCGAGACUCGACAAUAACACACACACUAUUAGUGGUCCUCGUUAUUUGACGCGAGGAUAUUGUGCUCCGGAAUAUGAAAAUGGUGGUAAACCUUCAAAGAUGGCUGACGUAUAUAGUCUGGGCGUUAUAAUCACUGAACUGAUAACAGGACGUAAGGUCGAUCCCAAUAAAAACAAAGUGCUUCGGUGGUGGGGCUACAGGUGGAAAAAAUCACAAAAGCAUUCGCCAAUACUAUACUUGAUGCAAUUAACUCAAUGUAUGAAAAUAGCAGCACUCUGUAGGAUUAAAGAACCUACAUAUAGACCUUCCAUAUCGGAUAUAACCAGCAUGCUCAUGCGAACUGAAACAAAUGUGGACGCUGCUCAGAUAAAUGACGAGAUGCUUGGAAUAGAGCCGCUCACGCUGAUGCUUCCAUCCGAGCUUCAGAAGGAGACAUAUGAAGUUAAGCUAACUAACGAGACAAAUGAUUAUUAUGCCUUCAUCAUCGAAACACAUUGCCAGCAGUACCAUGCACGGCCAGACCAAGGCAUUGUGUCACCACAAUCCAAUUGUAGUAUACAGAUAACAAUCCAAGAACAGAGUACUACAAAUGAUGAUUUUGUCGUGAAAAGCACAAUAGUGGACAAGGAUCUUAGAGCUGAACAGAUCACUCAAUACAUGUCCAAGAAAGAUCCAAAUGAAGUCGAUGAGGUGCCUUUGGUGGUUGUUAUAUGUAAUCCUGAAACAGCUGAGGCGCUUUCAAAGGAUCAUCACCGUAAUUUCCACCCGCCACAGAGCUUUUCAAGUUAUCAUCCUACAAACAUGAGGUACCUAAGUAGACCAAGCGACCGAGCUAUGGAUCUCGCAACGGGGGCCAUGGGCAGCCUGCUCCACAAGCUUGGCGAGCUCCUCAAGGGGUGCAAUCUGGAGGACAGUGUGAAAAAAGACAUCGAAUCUUUCUCGGAGGAGCUUACGAAUAUGCAGGUAGUCCUCAGGAAGUUGCCAGACUUGCAUCUGAAUGACCAGGAUUAUUAUCUGAUCAAGCGUUGGGCCAACAAUGUGAGAGAGAUGUCAUAUGACAUAGAGGAUUUUGUUGAUGGCUUUUUGGUGCACAGCGAGCCUACCUCUGAUGCGGGCGGAUUUAGAGUGCUCACUCAUAGGGUGUUCAAGGCUCACCCUCAAAUUAGUGACAAGAUCAAAGAUAUCAAGAAACAAGUUCAGGAUGAAAUCCAAAAGCGUCAAGAGUAUAAUGUCGACAAUGUUGUGGCUAAUGCACCUGCUGAAAUUACUGAUACCAUUGUUCCUUGCAUGUCGUGGGUUCCAUCAUUCAAACAUCAGAAAGACCUUGUUGGCAUUGAAGAGCAAAUAAAUGAACUAAUCAAGAGGUUUUCUGACGACGGGGAUGGGGAUGGGGAUGGGGAUGGGAAUGUGCAACUCAAGAUAUUCUCCAUCUAUGGAUCUGGCGGACUAGGCAAGACAACACUCGGGAGGGAAGUGUAUGACAGGCUUAAAGGAGGCCAAUUCCAUCUGAAAGCUUUUAUUUCUGUGGGUCAGAGUCGAGAUAAAAAAGACCUAAUUGGAGAUAUUAUCAAGGAAUUUAUUGGCGAUAAUUUCAAUGCAAAAAACUCGAACGAAGAGCAGCUCAUCGCAAAACUCCAACGGCUACUUGAGAAUAAGAGUACCACCAAAGCCUGAAUCCACUGAACUAGGGAUGGAGAUUCUGUCGUUGUCAUAUACCAAGGGAAGAUAUACCUGCUAUACCCUGAUACACUUUAAAUUUUUGUGAUCGCAUAUAUAGUAUUAUAGAGCAUAUACGAUUUUACAUGUUUUUAAUUAUCCAUAGUAGAGUUAGUGGCAUAUUUGUUUAGUGCUAUAUAGGGAAUUAUCUCUGUUGCACCCAGAUAUAUGUUAAAUUUAUGUAAAAUGUAUAUAAUAUUAUAGAUCAUAUACAUUUUGACAUGUUUUAGUUACCACAAUAAUGCUAGUGUAGCAAUAGCACAUGGUAAGAAUAUGGAGAGGUACCAAAGAAAACAAACUCCACAAAAUGUUGUAUUUAUGACUUUAAAAAUACCCACUUGCAUUUUUUAAUGUUUUUUAGACAAAUGAAAGGAUUUAGAUGGCUUGGAGGGAGAGGUGAAUAUGCUAUAAAAUUUCUCUACAAACUCAUAAACCCUAGAGCAAAGCAGUUAGUAAAACAAUAAAACCUAAUAGACACUACUAUAACACCUAAUGCAGGCCCCUACAGAAUUUUAGUGGCAAUUGGAUUGUACUACUAAAACACUCAGCCACCAAGGCUAGGUCCACUCUGGUGUCCUAAUCAGGUAAGGCAACUCUACCUGGUACAAAUAACAACUAGAGCUCCUCUACACAAGCAACAAGCACCACACAAGAUAUAUGAAUGAAAGAGUAGCAGAAGUGCAAACCGAACCAGUCAAGACAAAGAGAAUUAUCUCUUGAGGUUUGGUCACUUGCCGACAACCUAUGCCCUCAUUGUGGCAUAUCUUAGGGGACUGAUUCAUGCGCUAACUUGCUGCUCAAGCUAGACCCUCAACUUGGGUGCCGCUAGAGUCGAUCAUAAUGAGCACUCCAACUAGCCAUGAGCAUUCCGUUAUAGUUCUUUGCAAUCUUCCUUAGGGACCUGCACAAGGGCUACAAUCGACUUGACCGUUGGCUGCAAACAAUCACCACAAGCUCCUCAACGAUCCUCCAAUGAAGCGUCCCCACAUAAGUAGAGACUAAAUGUGAUACAAAUAUCAGUCCCAGAAGGCUAAUACACAUUUAUUCAAUAGAUAGUUCAGUUACCGUACAACCUCCGCGGAGGUGGGCACUCGAUACAAACGAUAACAAGCAGUUAAAAGGCUACGGUGAUACACCAAAGCACGAUCCAGACGGGGUCCAGCUCGGGCUCAGAGUAUCACGCCAAAGGGCCAACACCACAGGCAGCGUUGGGUGCGGACGCAACCUCCUACUCGACGUCCUCAACAAUGAAGUCUGGGUCUUCCUUUGAAGCAACAAAAUAGGGGUGAGUACAAAAGUACUCAACAAGUCCAGCCCCGCCCUACGGAGGGGGUAUAAGAAUACAUGCAUAAGGGUAAAUCAAGGAAUAGGCUGAGGUUUUAUUUUGCAUAAAGCCAAUUUUUAUACACAUGCAAGGGCUGUUUAGUAAUUCUUUUAUUUUUGCAAAACAUUUUGUUACCAUAAGGGUAAUAGUCAUGAAAGAGUGGGGUUUGAUCCUACACAAAGGAUCCAAAUUUUAAUUGCUACCGGGCACCCCGUCCACAGCAGCAAACAACACACUUGCCGGCAUUUCCAAAAUCCAACUCACGCUUUACUCACACAAAUUCCCAAUUCCCACAACUAGUCGAAGUAACCAAGCCAUAACUCGUCCAAGACCGUGGACAUGGCUAUUCGAAUAGAUUUUAAACUCUGCAGAGGUGUACAAUUUUACCCACAAGUAGGGUACCGCAACAUGAUCACCUUAGUGCUAGUCAUCUACGAGAGCCAAACUAAGGGGUUCAUGACCUUCUAACGAGGUCUCCAACCGGGCCACGAAUAAGCCUGCACUUGCUUAUGCCUGCUCCUUAGCCUCUCGAUGCACACCUGCCUCCAGACGGCUAACAGACUAACUAGUGAGAUUUAGACUAAGCCCUUGCCACACACAAGGGUCAAGUGGUUGCAUGAUAAAUUGGGUUAGGCAAGAUGACACAUCGACUCGGUCCUUAAACGAGACAAGGCGGACAUCUUCUAUACUCAACCACAAAGGCAUGAGCCGAAACUCCCAGGUGUCCCACACAAGGAACCCUGAUCUGCCCCAUCUCUGGGUAAUCACCCACACAUAGCUAUUCAUUAACACUUUCUCAAAGUCCCAACCCAUUUUUACACCAACCACACACUCACACAUUUUCUUGUUGAAAACAAUUGUAUUUGUAAAGUGAGUAGUAAAGUUGUUGAACAACAGGUCCUAACCAUUUAGCUAAUAUCAAGGAGUUUGCAUAAACAGAGCGUAUCAUGUGUUGCGAUAAAUCCUAGGUUUUAUAUAUCAUCAGCGACGUAAUGGCAAACAAGGAGUGGCUAUCCAACCGGGUUUAUAACUAGAUCAAGCAGUAAAAUAAUUCAGGCAUAUAUAUAUUUAUAUAACUGGAUGCAAGUCAUAUUAGGCUUCUACGGGUUGUGUUUGAAAACUGGGAUAAAUAUGAUCAAAAGGGAAUGGGUUGGACUUGCAGUCUUCAAAGCCUUCAGGCAGCUCCUGCUCGCGGUACGGAUCUUCUGGCUCCGGCUCACGGUACUGGCCUUCGUACUCGGUGCGUUCCUCCUCGAUCACUCCGUCUUCUACGGGCGGAAACGGCACAACCGGGAAACAAACACAAGCAAGCACAACCAUAAAAAUAAAAUGAGCUCGGAAGGAGGUGAAAAUAGGAGGAAUGGAUAGGAUAUGAUUUUAGAAAAAUUGAGGAAAAAGGAUUGAUUGAAUCAAAGCUUGGAUGGCUGAGAUAUUGUAGUUGUAAGAUAGGGUGGCUAACUAAUUCCGAAAAUGGAUUAAUAUAAAUGGAAGGAGCUGUGCGUGGAGGUUCUUGGGUAGUUUGGGCUUUGCGGCUAGUACUUGGGCUGGUGUUUAGUUCAUUUAAGUGGGCUUGCUGGACUCAACAAAACAGAGGUGGGAGAGGGUCACGGAACGGGAACAGGGAGGGCGACGACGUCCCAGGCGGCGGCGCCAUAGCACCUACGGUGGCUGCUCGCCGGAGCUUCGUCGUGAUCGAGCUGCGGUUCACUGUUCCCAAAUCCGAGGGCAUGGGAAGAGGGGAGAGUGAGGGGGUUCAGUUUUGGGGACUUCGAGCAUGGGAAACGGAGGUCUUCCACGGCGGCCGCGGCAGCCAUGGCUAUGGCUCCGGGAGCUCGUCGUGGGGAGCUUGGCUCGGGUAGGGAGGGUGGAUGGCGCUGGUUCGGGAAGGUAGAGGAGGGUACGAGGAUUCUCACCUCGAAGGGAAUUGAACCAAGAUGACCUGGUGGGGGAGAUCGACGGGAGGGGUCUGUUCUUGGGAAGAACAGAGGAUGGCGGGAUUGAGCGAGGGAGGAGCGGUGGAGCGGGGCGGCUUGGCGAGCUUGGGCUGGUGGCGGAGCUCCGCGCGGCCUCGCCCUUUUAUAGGCGCGGCGGACAGUAGUGGCGUCGCGCAAGGGCGGGCGGCAAGGACAACGGGCGUGGGCUGCGGCAGCUCGUCGUCAUUGUGCACAGCGGCGAGCUUGUAGCUGAGGCGACGGCGGCGUUGAAGCGCGUGCGACGAGGCGAGCUUUGCCGGCGAGAAGGCUGUAGCGAGGUAGGGGCUCGGCGGUGGGCGGCACGGCGUGGUGCCGGGUGCAGCGUGCGGUCCCGUUGCGGGGCCGGCGUGUCGCGUGUGCGGCGUGCUGCGAGCGCGAGCGAGGACGGCAGGGGGGCCUGACGAGCUGCAGGGGCGUGGACGCAGCAGUGAGCUGCUCGAGCAUGGUGAGAUGAGCACGGCAAGGGUCUGGUGUGCGAGCUUGCAUGGGGUGUUCGUGUGGUGCUUAUAAGUGCACAAGGUGCAUGAGAGUAUAUGUGUAAAAGAACAGAUUAGCUGGUUGGCUUGCUGUGUGCGUGCCUGUGCAGGUUAGAGAGAGAGAGAGGUGAUUAGGAACAUGAUGGAGAUUAGGGGACAAGGGAAUUGAGCUCAAGAGAUUAAUUUUGCAACAAGUUUUGAAAAUAGUUUUUGAACUCGAGUGAUUUUUCUAAUAUGAAUUUUCGGGCUGUUACAUCCAAUCCAUCAAGCAGUCUAGAUGGUGGCAAGCACCAAAAGUAACAAGCGAACUAAGGCUUAAAUAUGAACUAGUGCCACUAGAUGCACUAGAUCUCUCCUAAUCUCACUUUGGUCCAAGCAACUAGCAAGGAGAUGAGUGGGAGAUGUUCUUAAGUUCUGACAAGAGCCUAGGACUGGUCAACACAACACAUAUUUAUAGAAGCCCCAAAAACUAGCUAUUGAAAGAGUUUGUGGGGUCAUCUGAAAAGUCCGGUGGCCAUAAGAAGACGCAAACCAGAAUGUGGUCCAUGAUCUAAGGGCAGUCCAAAUCCAGAUUCUACCAUGGAGUCUAAGUAUAUUUAUAGUCCUCUAUUUAUAGCUUUUUUGCUGAUGUGGCACCCUAAUUAUUGAAGAUAGAAGGAAAAAAACAAGACUUGAUUUCUAGAUAAGACCUUAAGUCUACGCGCCCUUCAAUGCCUAAGAAACCAUGGAGACUUGCGUUGUGGAAGGAGCGUGGAGUCUAUAGAUCUUGUGAUGGAAGAAAAACAAUAAAUGAUUUUAUGUGUAGAAACUACUAUUACACACUUUGCAUUAGAAAGUAUAGUUUCUUAUGAUGGAGUCUUUGAGGCUUAAGACUAUACGAGUGGAGUCUGCAUUGGGACUGCUCUGAUGACUCAGAUUUGAUUUAGGAUUUCAAUCUCCUAGCACAUAGUCCAAUGCAACAUUAAGUGUACCACCGGAUAAUUCUAGUAGGCCUGCGCGUGCUCGGCCCAAGUCAAACUAGAUGUGGAACUCCCAACGACUAUUCAUGUUUCUCUAGUGACCUUUUGGUGAGGGGAACUGGAAUAAUAUGGUUACCCUAGAAUAUCUCGGUGUAGCUACCUGCGAGCUUCAGGGCAUCACCGGAUUUCCGGUGAUGAGCACUGAAACUCCAAUGGUUGCGUUCAAAAAACUACCUAAGCUAACAGUACGAUCUAUUCUUCUGGUGCUAUCAAAGGGGAACCACUUGAUAAAUUCAGUGGCAUACCCUAGCUUCUGUUAAGCGUACUUUGCCCCCCCCCCCCUGCUUAGGCACAUCUCUGGUGACUUUGUUAAGUGCAGUGAAGGUGCACUAAAUGCCAGUAUUCACUACUGUCUCGAAUCCUCUAAUUCCAAUAUGUUUAAAAACGAACAUCUUCACCUUAGGCUAUUAGGCAUUAAGAUUAGAUUUUCAAAAAUAUUUUGCAUUUGACCACGUCACUAGGUCCAAUGCAUUGGCAAAGUUUUUCACAUCUAGUAGCACUUAGAUAACAAUUUCGCAUUAGAGUUCCUCUCUUAAUAUUACGGCUAUCUAUCCUAAAUCUGACUGUGCCUCUACUAUGCGUUGGCCAAUGAAUAGAAACCUCCUAGCAUAUACCUUUGCCUUUGGGCCUGUCUUCAUCUUCUCUCCAAGUAUGAGCUUGCUCCAUAUGAAUUGAUGAACCUUCGUCCAUCUCAUAGUGAUAAGAUUGCGGAUCCUACCAGGGAUGUGUCGUAGGCUGUAGGGGUGAGAGGGAGGAGCAGACUUGGUACCUCGCUGCCGGCGUUGGGGCGCCGUGGCGAGGGAUCGCGAGUACGAGGGAGCGCGAGGGAGAACGGGGCAUGCGGCUGGGGAAACUCCCGGCUCCCUAAGGAAGCCAGAAACAAUAAUAUGUUUCUGCUUACCCUAAUCCAAAAGUGUUUACAAGUAUUUAUACUCCUAAUAAUAGAUGGAAAUAAAAUAACUAUGGGCCUUUAGCCCCUAUGGCCACCGGCACCCCUAGCCACUAAUGGGCCUGCGCCUAGCAUAGGUGAUGCUAGUCAUAACAUCUCUCCCCGCCUGCUGAAACAGCUCGUCCUCGAGCUGGAAGUCGGGGUUGGAGGCUCUGAAGUCAUCCAGCGACUCCCAUGUAGCGUCAUCUUCAGGUAGACCAUGCCAGCGAAUGAGCACCUGCCAGGCGCCACGGCGCUGCUGAGCACGCAGGGCCUGAGCGGGUGCUGGAAGAAGGCGACCAUCAUCGACCGGGGGCAGCGACCCUGGAGUAGCCGGCGGUUCACCCCGGUGACACUUCAGAAGGCCGACAUGGAACACGUCAUGAAUACGGGCUCCAUCUAGGAGCUGAAGGCGGUAGGCAACCUUGCCAAUAUGCUCCAGAACGUGGAACGGGCCUGCAUACCAUGGUCCAAGCUUCCCCUUGGCCUGCGGUUCUAGGGACUGAGUGGUGCGGUUGAGGAGGCAUAGCCACACCCAAUCCCCAACCUGCAGCUCCAAGUGGCGAUGUGCAGCGUCGUAGUACUUCUUGGAGAGCUCCUGCGCCUGAAGAAGACGUUGGCGCACCUCGGCUAGCACCUCGUCACGUGAGCGGAGGAGGCCGUCGACUGCCUCAGUCCUAGCUGUGCCGGCGUAUAGGGCAGCAGCAGGGGCAGAGGGCGACCGUAGACCACCUCAAAGGGGGUGGCAUGAAGGGCGGUGUAGGACGUAUUAUAGCAAUACUCCGCCGAAGAUAGCCAAUCCACCCACGCCCGUGGACGAUCACCUGUGACACAGCGAAGAUACAUAGCAAUCACCUUGUUAACCACCUCCGACUGACCAUCGGUCUGGGGGUGGAAUGCUGUGCUCAUGCGGAGCUUAACCCCAGCCAUCUUGAAUAAGUCGCGCCACACAUGCCCGGUAAACACAGGGUCCCUGUCGCUGAUGAUAGAAGAAGGAAACCCAUGUAAUCGGAUGAUGCCAUCGAAGAAUGCGCGAGCGACGGAUGUCGCUGUGUAAGGGUGGCCGAGCGCAAUGAAGUGCGCAUACUUGGAGAAACGAUCGACCACCGUCAGAAUCACCGACUUGCCGCUGACCUUAGGCAAGCCUUCAAUGAAGUCCAUCGAAAUAUCCGCACACACCUAGGAUGGCAUGUCGAGGGGCUGCAAUAAGCCUGCAAGCUGCAGCGUCUCCGUCUUGUUGCGCUGGCAUGUGAUGCACGUGCAGACCCAAUCCUGGACCAAGACGCGAUCGCCAGGAAUAUAGAAAUCGGCACGGAGGCAAUGCAGCGUCUUCUGGACCCCCUCUUGACCCGCUGAAUGGGCCAAAAGGAGGGCUUGGUGGCGCAAAUCUCCGUUGUCUGGAAUAAACAGCCGGGAGCCAUGGAGCAGCAGGCCGUCCUCCAGACGCCACGGGGCGCCCAGCUCCCCAUCCCGAAUUCGGUGCACAAGUUGUUGUGCGUCUGCAGCUACCGAGACCGCUCGGCGGAUGUCAUCCAGGAAGGCGAAGGAGGGCCAGAGAGGGGUGAGCAGCCCCCUCAGCCGCGGCAGCCUCAGGUGAGCCACCCGCAGUCCCAUCACGCCGAGAGAGCGUCGGCGACCGUGUUGAGACACCCGGGGCGGCACUCCACGUCGAAGUCGAAGCCGAAAAGCUUGCUGAUCCACUGGUGUUGGGGAACUAUAGACAGGCGCUGGUCAAGUAAAAAGUUGAGGCUGUAGUGAUCGGUACGAACCAGGAAAUGGCGCCCCCAGAGGUACGGCCGCCAGUGGCGCACAGCUUGCAUCAGCCCAAUCAGCUCGCGUUCAUAUGCAGUGAGCUUCAGAUGACGAGCGGCGAAUGGACGGCUGAAGUAGGCGAGGGGUCCAGCGCCCUGGUGGAGGACGGCGCCAAACCCCGCACCUGAAGCAUCGCAGUCGACCACGAAGACCUUGUCGAAGUCGGGCAUUUGGAGAGUCGACCACGAAGACCUUGUCGAAGUCGGGCAUUUGGAGGACCGGUCCCGUUGUCAGCGCGGUCUUGAGAGCCGCAAACGCCGAAGCGGCCUCAUCGUCCCAAGUGAACGCGACUCGCCGCAAGAGGCGUUAGUGGGGCUGCGAGGAGGCCGAAAUCUCGGAUGAGUUUCCGGUAAUAGCCCGCGAGGCCCAAGAAGCCACGCAGGUCCUGAGCGGAGCGCGUCGUUGGCCCCGCGGUAACAGCCGCCACUUUGUCGGCAUCCAUGGCGACACCACCAGUGGAGAUCACAUGGCCCAGGUAUGCCACCGAGGUUGCCCCAAAGGAGCACUUGGAGCGCUUGAGGUGGAGGCGAUUGGCCCAGAGCGUGCAGAGGACGAUGCCCAGGUGCUGCAGGUGCUCAACCCAUGUGGGGCUAUAGAUUAGAAUAUCAUCGAAAAACAACUGCACAAACCUGCAGAGGUAGGGGCCGAGGACGUCGUUCAUCAAAGCUUGGAACGUUGCUGGAGCAUUGGAGAGGCCGAACGGCAUCACCAAAAACUCGUAGUGGCCCCGGUGCAUCCGGAAAGCCGUCUUGGCGAUGUCGUCCGGAUGCAUGCGCACCUGAUGGUAGCCCGAGCGCAAAUCGAGCUUCGUGAAGAAACGGGCCCCAUGGAGCUCGUCCAGCAGCUCAUCCACCACGGGAAUCGGGAACUUGUCCUUCAACGUCUUGGCGUUGAGAGCACGAUAGUCGAUGCAGAAUCGCCAAGUCUUGUCUGUUUUACGCACCAACAACACCGGAGCGGAGAACGGUGAGGUGCUCGGGCGGAUGAUCCCCUGCUCAAGCAUAGCAGCACAUUGGCGCUCAAGCUCGUCCUUCUGCAGCUGAGGAUAGCGGUACGGGCGCACCGCAACCGGAACGGUAUCGGCAGCAGGUGGAUGCGAUGGUCGUACGGGCGCACUGGCGGAAGCCCCGUGGGCUCGUCGAAGAUGGUGCUAUGCUGCAGGAGGAGGCUGUCCAGCAAGGGCAGUCGCGGAUCAGCAGUGGCUACGGCCAGCUGCUGUUGGUCGGUAGGACUAGGUAGCCCGCCCACCCCUCGAGAACGCCAUGGUCAGGGCCGCACAAUCCCAAAGGAUGGGCCCCAACGUGCGGAGGAAGUCGAAGCCGAAGAUGAAGUCGAAACCGCCAAGGUUGAGGCCCACGCAUGUGACGGCGAAGUGCUCUUUGCCGAUGCAGAUGGGGACGUCACGGGCGAUUCCCCCGCAAGCGAGGCUGUCUCCAUUGGCGACUGUGACGCGGAGCGCCUCGCCACCGGUCGAAGAGAGGCCAAGGCAGCGCAUGAGCGUUCCCCGGAGGAAAUUGUGCGUAGACUCGGUGUCGAGGAGAGCGAGGACACGUUCGCCCUUCAUGGUGACGGGCAGCAGCAUGGAGUUUGCGGGCCGAAUUCCUGCAACAGCAUGUAGAGAGACCACGAAAGCGUUAGCGGCGGCGUGGUCGUGGGCAAUCGGCUCCUCCGGGUGGUCGGCCACAACAGCCGACUCAGCUGCUGGUUCGUCGACGAGGUAAUCAUCACACUCCAAGUAGAAGAGGCGCGGGCACACAUGCCCACGGACGUAGGGUUCGUCAUAGUUGAAGCACAACCCCUUCUGACGGCGUUCCAAUUGUUCAGCCGGUAAUAGACGGCGGAACAGGCACGCAGGCUGCGCCGCCGGUGUUGCUGCUGUCCCUGGCUGCUGGACCGUGGCCAGCGGGCGAGGAGGGCGUACGGCGCUCUGAGAAGGCGCGGGCGCUGGCGCGGGUACACACCGCUCAAAGGCCCGGGCCAAAUACAUGGCUGCCUGGAGGUCUGGCGGGGCGCGCAUCUCCACCUGCAGCCGAAUCUAUUCCGGAAGCCCGCCCACAUAUUACUCUGCCUUUUGACAGGGGGAAAGGUUCUGGGCAUGACACACGGCCGUGUUGAAGCGCUCGGAGUAGUCUUGGACCAUGAGAGGAACGGAAGACGCACCAGCUCAGCAAGGCAGGUUCCCUGAAUCGGCGGCCCAAAACGCUGCGAGCAAAGUGCCCGAAAAUGCUCCCACGGCGGCAUGCCUUCAUCUUGCUCCAAAGCGUAGUACCAUGUUUGUGCAGCGCCCUUCAAGUGAUAUGACGCGAGCCACGAAAUCAAUGUUUGCUGUCCCUUAAAGAACAGCUCACAUUGGUUCAGCCAAUUGAGAGGAUCCACCAAGCCGUCAUAUGUUGGAAACUCCAAUUUGGAGAACUUGGGCAGCGCCUGGACGCCGAGGAGGGCGCCCUCCACGGCCGAGGGAUCCCCUGCGUAGGGAUCGCCGCAAGGGAUGAGGAGGCCAUCCACACCCCCCCCCAUAGAGGACCCCCGACGAGGGGAGGGUCUGAUGAGCCUCUGCUGAUGCAGUAGGCAUGGCCGCAGAUGGCGUCGUCGUGGUCGUCGCUGCAGUGAAGAUUGGCGCAGCCACCGAGGCCGACGCAGGCAUGGAGCCUAUGGCCCAGGAGGGAAUUGGCAACGGCGACGAGGGCCACUGCAGGUGGUGCAAUGGCACGCUCGCGCUGGACUAGGGCAUGCCAUAGGGAAACCCCGGGGGCUGUGUGGUCGAGGGCGAAGGCGGUGGCGUCGGUGGAGCUGAGUGCGGAGGAGGUGGCGGCUUGAUCAACCCGGCCCAUGCUGACUGCAUGGAUGUUUGGGUGCGGUUGAUGUCUUGGAUCGCUGCAGCCAACGACUCGAGUCAACGGUGCGCCGGAAGACGCCGAGGGAUCGGAUCAUCGGACAGGGCCGACUGGGCGGACGGCGGCGACGCCGUGGAAAACGGCAGGGCGGCAGAGGAAGCUGGUAGGGCGGAGGUAGAGCUCGGCAGGGGAAGCGACAUCGUGCCUGGAGAAGCUGAUACCAAAUUGAUAGGAUUGCGGAUCCUACCAGGGAUGUGUCGUAGGCUGUAGGGGUGAGGGGGAGGAGCAGACUUGGGACCUCGCUGCCGGCGUUGGGGCGCCGUGGCGAGGCAUCGCGAGUACGAGGGGGCGCGAGGGAGAAGGGGGCGUGCGGCUGAGGAAACUCCCGGCUCCCUAAGGAAGCCGGAAACAAUAAUAUGUUUCUGCUUACCCUAAUCCAAAAGUGUUUACAAGUAUUUAUACUCCUAAUAAUAGAUGGAAAUAAAAUAACUAUGGGCCUUUAGCCCCUAUGGCCACCGGCACCCCUAGCCACUAAUGGGCCUGCGCCUAGCAUAGGUGAUGCCAGUCAUAACACAUAGCCUUGCUCGCACCUUCUUGUGGAUCCUAGCUCAAUCAAAAUGUAUUGGAAACAUUAGUCCACUUGUCAUUCAACUACAAAACAAACUUAGGGCUUUCAACAGGAUAUAUAACUUAAUCUUUGGUUUCAAUAAAAAUCGCUGAACAUCUUUACCAAGUAGAUGAAUAGACUAGCAUAUUUAGCAACAAAUAGGAUCAACCUCUCCUGAAAACAAUCGGAAUCACAACAGUGAGAAUGACCUUUAAGGCUAAAGCCAGUUUCAGUGUGAUUUUGUACUCAUUUAAUAAUGAGGUACGGUGACACAUCAGUAUAGAGUAAAAACGACAGAGGUAGCUAAUAAAUUUAAAAAAAGAUGGGUUUUAUCCCUGUCAAAAUUUGCGACGUUUGACUAUAAGGUUUGCUUUUUUAGACCUAUAUAGUGUAAGUAUCAUUUGCCAAUUGUACUAAGACUUAACUACUACUCCAUGCAUUUUUUUUUUUGCAGGUACAUCAUAGUAAUUGAUGAUAUAUGGGAUUCGAACAUUAUUGAAUCUGUUUUCCUAGGCAAUAAUUGUGCUAGUAGAGUGGUGAUAACUACAAGGAUUUACUCUGUUGCUAUUGCAUGUUGCAAGAAUAAAGAGAAUGUUUAUGAGAUGAGAAGACUCAAUGAGCAAGACUCAAAAGCACUAUUUGUUCGUAGAAUAUAUGGUACAGAAGAAGCCUGCAAUGAUGUACCAGAAGAGAUCUUGACUGGUAUUCUAAAGAAAUGUGGUGGUUUGCCACUUGCUAUUGUCAGCAUAGCAAGCUUGCUUCGAGCUAAAGAUCCUAGGCAAAGGUCAACAUGGGAUUAUGUAAGGAAGUCUUUGGUAGCUAUGUUUGAAGGAGACAAUCCUACUCUUAAAGAAAUGGAGCAAAUAUUGGAUCUUAGCUACAGACAUCUCCCUCAUCAUCUUAGGACAUGUCUUCUUAGUGUUUGUAAGUAUCGCGAGGACCAUGAGAUCGAAAAGGAUGAAUUGCUGAGGCAAUGGAUAGCUGAAGGUUUUGUGAUCACUACAACCCAUGGCCUGGAUGCAGAGGAUGUUGCAGAAGAUUAUUUGGAAGAGCUCAUCAACAUGAGUAUGAUCCAGCCCGAGAAGAUAGACUACAACAAUGAGGUUCUCUCUUGCAGAGUACAUGAUAUAGUGCUUGAUCUUAUCAGAUCCAAGGCCGCACAAGAGAAUUUUUGUCUUGUAAUAGAUGGUUCAAAAGAUGUGAGACAGACACCUGAAAAGGUUCGUCGGGUCUCAGUCCACUUUCAUAGUGAGAUGGAUGGUAGAACGCUGGCAGUGGCAGCAACCAGUGGGUCACUAGCGCAUGUUCGAUCAGUCACGUUAUUUUCGAGAGGCCGCUAUGAUAUAAAUUCUUUUCUGGCAUUGAAGUAUGUCCGAGUUCUUCACCUUGAAGAUCGAACUUCCAAGCUAAACCUCAGCAGUAUCUCUGAGUUAUUUCUACUAAGGUAUCUAAAAAUCGUGUGCUAUUUCUUUUCAACUGAUUUGGAGCUACCAAGUCGAUUUGAGGAGCUACAAGAAUUGGAGACAAUAGAUGUACGGUCAGUGACUGCGAGCAGUGUUCCACAAGGCAUUGUCAGCUUACCAAGGUUAUUGCAUCUCAGUGUUGGAAAUUUUUCAGGGCUGCCUGAGGGAAUUAGUAGGUUGAAAUUCCUGCGCACCCUAGGAUGCUUUAAUUUGGCGGCAACCUCGGUAGACAAUAUCAAGUGCCUUGGCGAGCUUACCAACCUGAGAGAUCUGACAAUUUGUUGGUGGCGAGGUUAUCAGGGUGAUCCAAUGGAUACGGCCAUGCAAAUGGAGGCGUUGCGCUCUUCCAUUGUAUGUCUUUCUGAGAGUCUCAGGAGCCUUAUUAUCGGACCUGGAUGCAACAUCCAACUACCAGUGCAUGACUGGAGCAGCGCACGCUCCCUUCCAGUACGUAACCUUCGGAAGCUCGACCUGACUAGCUGUGAUUUUGACAGGUGCCCUGGGUGGAUCUCUGAGCUCCAUGACCUCUACAGCUUACGCAUUAGGGUCAAGGAGGUGGCUGAUGGUGUCAGUAUUGUUGCAGAACUGCGUUCACUUGCCUACCUGUACCUGAAAUGUCAUGGAGAAAAAGAAGAAGAGGCUGUUAUCUCUGGCUUCCAAGCCCUUAAGCACUUGGAUUUGAACUGCGAGAAGCUGUCGCUGACCUUCCAAGCUGGGGCAAUGCCCAGGCUAGAGAAGAUCGAGAUUGUAACAGGUUAUGUCUUACCACGUGGCAUCGAGCACUUGCCAACAUGCACCCUCCGACAAAUCUGUUUGAAGGUGGUGGAUGUGGAUACCGACGAGCAACGAUACAACCCACUUAUCGGUCCUAUGUUUGACAUUCAGACAGUAUUUCGGCGGCAUCAUCCUCGUGCUCAAAUCACCAAUGAAAGGAUCUCUCGACGCGGUUGGAGAUAUCCUCCACUCAUGAAUGGUGGGGGGACAACACAUCUCAAUAAUGCAUCUCUCAUAGGAAAUAUAUUGGGUGCGGAUAAUACGUACCCAGCACCGUGCGGACCUCCCGUCCACACACAACGCGUGUCCACGCCGCGCAGGGCUCGGCUCUCCUGCCUCCAGAACAAACUCAGCUCGCUACCAACCCAACAAAUUGCCUCGAUCACAGCAGCCAGAGGGUUCCAGGGAGCCAACAAAGUAACUGAUGAAGUUCAGGAGGAACCCUGUGGCUACAACGACUGAAGUGGCCCCGAACUGCAGCACUGGCAUGGAGCUGGCCAUGGCGAUCUGCACACGACAGCACGAGGAGAGGGACUCGGGAAGAAGAAAAGAAGAUGGGGAGGACUGCAGGUACCUGAGCUUCCAGUAUUGGACUGGAAGUUGUGGUUGAGACGGUCGAGUGCAUGCUGGAUCGCUCCAGCUGCUCCUGUGCGAGCUUCUGGAUCGUUUCCCUGUCCUCCUCAAGUGCGCGUACUUCAGUUCCCGUAUGGAUUGCAAGUUGUUUAGACCUCGCAUGGCCUUGCCCUGCCCAUCCAGGAGCCCCAUCUGGUCGCUCUCCAAGAACCAUAUGCAUCCGGCCACGGCGUUGUCCAUCAUUCUCACCGCCACGGGCACUGGCACCGAUGGCUGUUACUACAAAACAUGGUUUUUGUAACACAUUCUUGUAACAUAUUCAUCAUUGUGUUACAAAGAUGUUUCAUAGGAACACAAAACUAUGUGUUACAAAUAAAGACUAACACAUAGCGCUAGUUUUACAAAUAGUGUUACAAAUAUCGAUUAUAGUAACACAAAAUUAAUGUUACAACUAAAAUGUUACAAACAUGGAAUUUUGUUGUAACACUUUAGUAGGUGUAAAGAUACAUAUCCUAUUUGUAACACCAAAUACUGUUACAGAUAAAUAAAGUGUACAAAGAAACUUAUAUCUAUGUUUU